rnacentral:rRNA from 1 species
CAGUAGCCGCGGUAAUACGGAGGAUCCAAGCGUUAUCCGGAAUCAUUGGGUUUAAAUGGUCCGUAGGCGGUCUUGUAAGUCAGUGGUGAAAGCCCAUCGCUCAACGGUGGAACGGCCAUUGAUACUGCAGGACUUGAAUUAUUGGGAAGUAACUAGAAUAUGUAGUGUAGCGGUGAAAUGCUUAGAGAUUACAUGGAAUACCAAUUGCGAAGGCAGGUUACUACCAAUUGAUUGACGCUGAUGGACGAAAGCAUGGGGAGCAAACAGGAUUAGAUACCCCCGUAGUCCCUGUCUCUUAUAC